rnacentral:rRNA from 1 species
GGUACCCUACGGGGGGCAGCAGUAGGGAAUUUUCGUCAAUGGGCGCAAGCCUGAACGAGCAACGCCGCGUGGGUGAAGAAGGUCUUCGGAUCGUAAAACCCUGUUGUUAGAGAAGAAAGUGCGUGAGAGUAACUGUUCACGUUUCGACGGUAUCUAACCAGAAGGCCACGGCUAACUACGUGCCAGCAGCCGCGGUAAUACGUAGGUGGCAAGCGUUAUCCGGAUUUAUUGGGCGUAAAGGGAACGCAGGCGGUCUUUUAAGUCUGAUGUGAAAGCCUUCGGCUUAACCGGAGUAGUGCAUUGGA